AUGCAGCUGGCCAGGCUGGUGUGCUUGGCGACACGUGCGACCUCCGACGAGGCGUGGCGGUGGCACGCAAGGUACGUGCACAUGAAUUUCAACUCCCUUCAGAUGCUGGCUCGACAGGGCAUGGUGCGCGGCAUGCCGGCGGUCGAGCACGUCGAUCAGCUUUGCGACAUCUGCCUGGCAGGCAAGCAGCGCCGUGCAUCAUUCCCGGACGCGGCGAAUUAUCGAGCCGAGCAUGCACUGGAGCUUGUACACGGCGAUUUGUGUGGCCCUAUCUCUCCGGCGACUCCUUCUGGCCGUCGUUAUUUCCUGCUCCUCGUUGAUGAUAUGUCCAGGUUCAUGUGGCUGACACUACUAAGCAGCAAGGACGCGGCGUCGGACGCGAUCCGUCGCUUCCAAGAGCGCGUCGAGGUCGAGUCAGGGCGCAAGCUCCAUGCGCUGCGCACUGAUCGCGGCGGCGAGUUCACCUCCAUCGAGUUUGGCGAGUACUGCGCCGAUCGAGGCGUGCAGCGGCAGCUCACCGCCCCAUACUCACCCCAGCAGGACGGGGUGGUCGAGCGGCGCAACCAGACGGUGGUGUCAAUGGCGCGGAGCAUGAUGAAGGCGACGGCGAUGCCCGCCAAGUUCUGGGGGGAAGCGGUGACCACGGCCGUUUUCCUCCUCAACCGCGCGCCCACGAAGAGCGUGCGCGGCAUGACUCCCUACGAGGCCUGGCAUGGGACGCGUCCUGCGGUGCACUUCCUCCGCACCUUCGGGUGUGUGGCACAUGUCAAGAACGUGCGCCCGCACCUGAAGAAACUCGACGACAGAUCGACGCCGAUGGUGUUCAUCGGCUACGAGGAAGGCAGCAAGGCGUACCGUGUCUUCGACCCGAUCGGUGGGCGCGUCCAUGUGACGCGCGACGCCGUCUUCGACAAGGGGGCGCACUGGAACUGGGAAGCGGAGGAACGCGCUGCGGGCACCAACGCCUUCACCAUCGACUACGAGGUGCGUCGCGUCCCUGCAAUGGCAGGGAGGAUUGUGCCUAACACGCCGCCGCGUCAGUCUCCUGGUGCGGCCGGAGUGACGCCCGAGCCAGAGAACGCAGCCGUAGCAACGGCGGGCGGCGCAUCAGAAGCAGCGGCAGCAGCGUCCCCAACACGCAGUGAGCCCGCGACGCCCCGCUCAGCUGCAACAGGAGCAUCUCCAACAUAUGCUGAGCCCGCGACGCCCAGCUCAGCAACAACUUCAGCAUCUCCGGCGAGCAGUCCACGGAUCACCUACGUCACGCCACCAACGCCAUGCUCGGAGAUGCACGAUGUAGCCGUGGAUGCCCACGGUCCUCUGCGCUUCCGGCGUGUGUCGGAUCUGUUCGGUCCGGACCUGGAUGAGGAGGAGGAGCUGCUGCUCACUUCUGCAGAGGAGCCGUCCUCGUUCUCUGAAGCAGAGCACGAGCCGAGCUGGAAAAAGGCCAUGAUCGAGGAAAUAGGCUCGAUUGAGGAGAAUCAAACCUGGGAGCUCACUGAUCUUCCCCCAGGUCACAUUUCCAUUGGAUUGAAAUGGGUGUUUAAGGUCAAGCGCGACGAGGACGGAGUGGUGACCAAGUACAAAGCACGGCUGGUGGCGAGAGGUUUCGUCCAGCAGGAGGGCAUCGACUUCGACGAGGUAUUCGCGCCGGUCGCUCGCAUGGACUCGGUGCGUCUGAUGCUCGCACUCGCCGCGCAGGAAGGCUGGCGCGUCCAUCACAUGGAUGUGAAGUCUGCCUUCCUCAACGGCGACUUGGCAGAGGAGGUGUACGUCCGGCAGCCGCCGGGUUUUGUCGUUGCAGGAGAGGAGCACAAGGUGCUGAAAUUGAGGAAGGCACUCUAUGGCUUACGACAAGCACAGCGGGCUUGGAAUGCCAAGCUGGACGCCACGCUCGCUGCUCUGGGCUUUGUCAGGAGCGGCUCAGAGCACGCGGUCUACGUCCGACGCGGACUCCUGGUGGGCGUGUACGUCGACGACCUCCUCAUCACCGGACCAAGCGACGACGACAUCCGCAGCUUCAAGGGGGAGAUGAUGGCCAAGUUUCGCAUGAGCGACCUGGGCCUACUCACCUACUACCUCGGCAUCGAGGUGCACCAAAGCGCGCACGGGGUCACACUCGGCCAAGCUGCGUACGCGUGCAAGAUUCUGGAGAAGGCGGACAUGCUGGACUGCAACCCCUGCCACGCGCCUAUGGAGCCCAGGCUCAAACUGAGCAAGAACAGCGAGGCUCCACCAACGGACGCCAGCGACUACAGAAGCAUCGUCGGCAGUCUUAGGUAUCUGGUUCACACUCGACCAGACAUCUCGUUUGCCAUCGGGUAUGUGAGCAGGUUCAUGGAAGCACCAACAACGGAGCACCUCACGGCGGUCAAGCACAUCCUACGCUACAUCGCCGGCACGAUCGACUACGGCUGCAGCUACCGGAGGAGCGGUAGCCCUGUUCUGUCCGGGUACAGCGACAGCGACCUGGGAGGCGAUCCAGACACACGCAAGAGCACCACUGGUCUCCUCUAG
rnacentral:rRNA from 1 species